rnacentral:rRNA from 1 species
UACGGAGGGGGCUAGCGUUGUUCGGAAUUACUGGGCGUAAAGCGCACGUAGGCGGCUUUGUAAGUUAGAGGUCGAAAGCCCAGGGCUUAACCCUGGAAUUGCCUUUAAGACUGCAUCGCUAGAAUCGUGGAGAGGUAAGUGGAAUUCCGAGUGUAGAGGUGAAAUUCGUAGAUAUUCGGAAGAACACCAGUGGCGAAGGCGACUUACUGGACACGUAUUGACGCUGAGGUGCGAAAGCGUGGGGAGCAAACAGG